rnacentral:rRNA from 1 species
GUSCCAGCCGCCGCGGUAAUACGUAGGGUGCGAGCGUUGUCCGGAAUUACUGGGCGUAAAGAGCUCGUAGGUGGUUUGUCGCGUUGUUCGUGAAAUCUCACGGCUUAACUGUGAGCGUGCGGGCGAUACGGGCAGACUAGAGUACUGCAGGGGAGACUGGAAUUCCUGGUGUAGCGGUGGAAUGCGCAGAUAUCAGGAGGAACACCGGUGGCGAAGGCGGGUCUCUGGGCAGUWACUGACGCUGAGGAGCGAAAGCGUGGGGAGCGAACAGGAUUAGAUACCCUGGUAGUCCACGCCGUAAACGGUGGGUACUAGGUGUGGGUUUCCUUCCUUGGGAUCCGUGCCGUAGCUAACGCAUUAAGUACCCCGCCUGGGGAGUACGGCCGCAAGGCUAAAACUCAAAGGAAUUGACGG